GGGCGGAUGGUUUAGUGGUAUAAUACUCCCUUAGCAUAUUUCCACCUGUGGAUCUAAUCUGGGAGUGGUCCGGGGUUCGAUUCCCCGUUCGUCCA
rnacentral:tRNA from 1 species